rnacentral:tRNA from 1 species
CGCGGAGUGGAGCAGUUGGUAGCUCGUCGGGCUCAUAACCCGAAGGUCGCAGGUUCAAGUCCUGUCCCCGCAACCA